rnacentral:rRNA from 1 species
AUUGAACGCUGGCGGAAUGCUUUACACAUGCAAGUCGAACGGCAGCACGGACUUCGGUCUGGUGGCGAGUGGCGAACGGGUGAGUAAUGUAUCGGAACGUGCCCAGUCGUGGGGGAUAACGUAGUGAAAAUUACGCUAAUACCGCAUACGAUCUAUGGAUGAAAGCGGGGGGUCGCAAGACCUCGCGCGAUUGGAGCGGCCGAUAUCAGAUUAGGUAGUUGGUGGGGUAAAGGCCCACCAAGCCAGCGAUCGGUAGCUGGUCUGAGAGGACGACCAGCCACACCGGAACUGAGACACGGUACAGACUCCUACGGGAGGCAGCAGUGGGGAAUUUUGGACAAUGGGCGAAAGCCUGAUCAAGCCAUGCCGCGUGCAGGAUGAAGGCCCUCGGGUUGUAAACUGCUUUUGUACAGAACGAAAAGGUUUCUACUAAUACUAGGAGCUGAUGACGGUACUGGAAGAAUAAGCACCGGCUAACUACGUGCCAGCCGCCGCCGUAA